rnacentral:rRNA from 1 species
UACGAAGGGGGCUAGCGUUGCUCGGAAUCACUGGGCGUAAAGGGUGCGUAGGCGGCCAACUAAGUCAGACGUGAAAUCCCUCGGCUUAACCGGGGAACUGCGUCUGAUACUGGAUGGCUUGAGUUUGGGAGAGGGAUGCGGAAUUCCAGGUGUAGCGGUGAAAUGCGUAGAUAUCUGGAGGAACACCGGUGGCGAAGGCGGCAUCCUGGACCAACACUGACGCUGAGUGAGCGAAAGCCAGGGGAGCAAACGGG